CUGAAGGAGUCGGGGCCCCCACCGCUGUAGCGCUGCUGCCCCCAUUAGGGCCUGGAACCCCGAGCCUCCAGCUCUGCUCGCGGUGCCCCCCAAGGCUGAGGUUUCAGUCUGCAGUCUGCUGAUCUGAAAGAAAGAAGGCGUUUUUUGGAGGACAUAAUCAUUGCAAGUCGAGCUGCUGCUGAACCUCCCCUUCCAACAUCCAGCAGAAACAGAAGCUACCAACCCACCAAACCCUGGGACAGGUAUUUCCCUACAGAAGCAUUCAUGUCCUUCUCCUGGCCCCUUUGGCCAAUUCCCAGCUCUCCAAACUGAGGCGUACGGCUGCAGCCCGCCCCAUGGCUUCUUUGGGGCAGCUGUGGGGCAGCCCCACCCCGAGGAGGAGAUGCCUUUUCCCCACAUGCAGCUGGUUCUAUGGCCACAUGGGGUGAGGACGUGGGGUCGUGGGUCACAUGGGGGUCCUGCAGGGUCACAGAG
rnacentral:lncRNA from 7 species